UACGAAGGGGGCUAGCGUUGCUCGGAUUGACUGGGCGUAAAGGGCGCGUAGGCGGUUCGUACAGUCAGACGUGAAAUUCCUGGGCUCAACCUGGGGGCUGCGUUUGAUACGUGCGGACUUGAGUGCGGAAGAGGGUCGUGGAAUUCCCAGUGUAGAGGUGAAAUUCGUAGAUAUUAGGAGGAACACCGGUGGCGAAGGCGCCACUCUGGACAGUAACUGACGCUGAGGCGCGAAAGCGUGGGGAUCAAACAGG
rnacentral:rRNA from 1 species